rnacentral:rRNA from 1 species
UACGGAGGGGGCUAGCGUUGUUCGGAUUUACUGGGCGUAAAGGGCGCGUAGGCGGCUUAACAAGUCACUUGUGAAAUCUCCGGGCUUAACUCGGAACGGCCAAGUGAAACUGUCAAGCUAGAGUGCAGAAGGGGCAAUCGGAAUUCUUGGUGUAGCGGUGAAAUGCGUAGAUAUCAAGAGGAACACCGGUGGCGAAAGCGGCUCACUGGCCGGAAUCUGACACUGAGGUGCGAAAGCUAGGGUAGCAAACGGG